rnacentral:misc_RNA from 1 species
GACAAAAUAAAUUUGUCCACCUUCUUCACAGUUUGCUUUUUCUCUUCCAUCAAAUUUAUCUCUAACAAAAAUCUCCAUUACCGUAAGAAAAUGUUGCUGCUAGAACUACACCUGUCAAGACGAACACCUUUUUCUAAUCUGGUUCAAUCAUUGAUUAUCGAACCAUUGAACAUGACUCCAUCAUUUAACAUAACUCUGAUAUCAUUUGUAAACAGGUGUAACGCAAAAGCUACCAAAACAAACCUCGAAAGGCCAUAAGUAAGAAGAUAAAUGAGAAACACACCAAAAUAUAGAUUUAAUGUUGUUCGGUCAAUUGACCGAAGGAGAUGUACAAUCCACUAUAAAUAUGAAAGUAUAUAAAUAUGAAAGUAUAAAUAUAGAGAGAACAUGUGAGUUUUACACAAAUGGUAACGAAUUAAACGUGUGUUCCACAAAUUUUUCUCCUAAACAAAACUUUCAAAGUCGUUAAGACUACAUUGUGAAUUUUAAUUAUGUUAGAAGAAACAAACCUAAACCUUUUCCUAAAAAGAAAAAUAUAUAUAUGGUAAAAAAUUCAAGGUAAAUAAAACCCAAUAUGAAAGUACAUUUCUAAUGGCAUAAUACAUAAAUGUGUCAUUUAACUUGACUUCAAAUUGCAUAUAUGCCCUUCAACUUUGGAUGUGCACAUAUUGUGCCGUGUAGGACUCAUGUAUUUAUUUACUUAAAAGUUGG